UAUCCUCUGGCCUGGCGCUAGCAUUGCCAAUGGAUCGUAUCUCGACUUUCUCCGCACAAAAUCUUCCCACUUGGGACCGAAAUGGCUUCUCCACUCUCGUCUUGUUGUGUAAUGUGGCAGAUAUUGCUUCAACCCAAAACCUUGUGCUUGGCUGAAUUCGAGUAUUCUUUGGUUCCGCUUUAAGAUGUGCUCCACUCCAUCCUUCCCCGUCGACCCUGGAACCGCCGACGUCAGGAUCGCCACCAAGUAAAAUAUCUCUUCCUCCGGCGUUACUGCUGAAGUUCUAUUGUCCCACCUGACAAAAAUACAGACGAUGACUGGACCGUUGCUUGUGUCGGUUAGGAUGCUUCCGAAAACACCUUUUGCAAAAUCAUUCACUCUGCUUCUUGGAACUAGGAGAUUCAGCCAUGGAUGUGGAACUUCCCAUUGCCCUUUCGAUCGAAGUUUCUUCUCAGACACAUGUACCCUGUCCAAGAAUUCUUCAUAUGUUACCUCCGUUGAAAACAGUGUCGACGAGACGUAGCUUAGUUCAGAUAACCAUUCUUUCACUUCCUGGAGUGUUCAAAACAAGAUAGAGAUAAAUGAUAUUCAGUUCCAUCUAUCACGGAGCUCAUCAUGCUUUGCAAUACAGAGUCCUCCCAUCAGAUUUGAAUUGGCUGGCUUGUAAAGGGUCUUCUGGGGUGAAGGAUAACCUCCAGUUGUUCAGGAGGCCUGUCCGGUUUAUUAUCACAAACCCUUCAAUGUAAUCGAAUCUUUUAUCUGCCGAAAUCAGACGCUCUUGGUCCUUGGCAAAAGCAGAGAAAUCCAGGCUUUUUGACUCGGAUGAAACUCAAAAGGAUUGGUUUCUGAUUCGUUUGUGAGAAAAAGAAUGGUGAUCACUGAACUGAGGGGGUCAGGGGACGUGGAACGAAAGAAAUCCGUGUGCUCUCUGUAGGAAAUUAGGAGGCAAUUUCAGUCAUGAUGGGACCCAACAACACAAUCCUUGUAACGCAAGAACUAAAUGAGGCUGUGACAGCACAAAGCAAAGCAACCAAUGAGUGGAUAACAGAGAGGGACUCACUGCUUCUUCCGACAGAAUCAUCUCGGAUGGUCCGUUUUAUAUUAAUUUGUUUGCUUGGGGUUAAUUUGUCCAUUUUUUUUUUUUAAAGUAUUAUUAUCUAUUUGGUAGAGUUACAUUCACUUUUCCUCAGAAGAGUAGUGAUCAUCUUUGGAAAUAAUCAAUGAGCUACGAUGUCACCAAGGAGAUCGUUUCUCUUGAUUGUAACCUGAGAAGUAUAGAGUCUAAUGGAAGGAUUACAAAAAAGAGAGAGAGAGAGAGAGAGAGAGAGAGAGAGAGAGAGAGAGAGAGAGAGAGAGAGAGAGAGAGAGAGAGAGAGACUGGUGGCAAAAAGGUGUGGCCAAAUGAAGAUUGUGCACCCAAUAGAAAUCUCGGGUGUAGUUGUAGGGUCAGAGAGAUGAGAUUGGGUUUUCAGAGUUUGACCAGUCCGGUUUUAAACAGUGAAGAAAGAAGUUGGGCUCUUCUCAACUAAUUGGUGCGGUGGUGGGCAUGGUGUGAACUGAAAACAGAGUUGGUGGGAAUGGUUGGUCUCUAGAAGGAGAAGCGACCAGAGAGCACUAGCGAGAGACUCGUGGGGCAUAGCUUGUCCCAAAGCAAUCUUGGUCCCAAUAUAUAUUAUAUAUAUUAUAUAUGCAUUUGAACAUUUGUCAGCCAAAGGGUCGAAGGGACGGCUGUGGUGGUGUGUGAUUGAAGUGGACUGGUCCACGACUGUGACGCCUCUGCUGACUUGUCAGCUUAAACUCUCAUUGGUGCUUCCUUCCACCUUCACGUGGCUUUGUUCCCAUUAACAUUUUUUCUUCCAAAAACAAAAUUUAAAAACAUAAAGUAUGUGUAUGUGUGUGU